rnacentral:tRNA from 1 species
GGAGAGGUGGCAGAGUGGUCGAAUGCACCGCACUCGAAAUGCGGCAUACCCGCGAGGGUAUCCAGGGUUCGAAUCCCUGCCUCUCCGCCA